GAUGAACGCUGGCGGCGUGCCUAAUACAUGCAAGUCGAGCGAAAAGACGAGGAGCUUGCUCCUCUGACGUUAGCGGCGGACGGGUGAGUAACACGUGGAUAACCUACCUAUAAGACUGGGAUAACUUCGGGAAACCGGAGCUAAUACCGGAGAAUAUAUUGAACCGCAUGGUUCAAUAGUGAAAGACGGUUUUGCUGGCACUUAUAGAUGGAUCCGCGCCGCAUUGGGUAGUUGGGAAGCUAACGGGUUAUCAAGGCGAGGAUGCGUGGCCGAGCUGCGGGGGUGGUCGGCCACACGAGAGCGGAAACACGGACAAUGCGCCUACGAGAGGCAGCAGAAGGGAAUCUGCCGCAACGGGCGGAAAUCUGACAGAACAGGGCGACGUGUGUUGUAAAGGUCUUCGGAGCGUAAAGCUGUGUUAUUGGUGAAGAACAAAUGUGUAAGGAGCCGAACACGUCUUGACGGUACCUAGUCAAAAAGCAACGGCUAACUACGUG
rnacentral:rRNA from 1 species